GCGGAGGAGGGGAUCGGGAGGCUCGCGGCGACGAUGGGGAAGCCGAGCGAAGGGAGAAGAGAUCUGAGAGAGACAGGGGCGUAAUUGGAUGAGAGCGAGACGAGUGGCCGAGUCCUCACGGGUGUGGGGCCCACGUUACAUGGCCACGUGGAGGAGUCGUGCCCCGCUGCGUCCGCGCCUGAGCGCCAUCCAUCCGGCCGCGCGAAUCUUGAAGCGAUUUUUAUUCUAUUUUAUUCUAUAAUUUGUUUUGUUUGGGGGCCUAGGAGUCGGUUAGCUUCUUCUCCCUCCCCUGCCUCCUCGCCGUGAAGCGCCGCCGAAGCCGGCGGUGAGGGUCGGGACGUGAGGAAGUCGACGAACUGUCGCCGGAUACAAUUCUCGUGGCCACCGGCGAGAUUGCCAUGAUGUGAGAUGGAAUCACCGAGGAAACCUCGAGAGGAAGAAGAGGAACUCUGAUUCGAUUCAUUUCGUUGAUCCCCUUCUCGAUGCUCCUGGCCUCUCCUUUGUAGCCGAGCCAAUCAAAUUGGGAUUUACGGGAUGUCGAAGCUGUCACAGCCAAGGCCGAAUUUUACAGCUCUAAGUCGAAGGGAUAGAUCGAUCAACCCGCAGCGAGGCGCUGGCCGGGGACCGACGUCUCUGGUACCAUCUGUCACACCGCCGGUGGCUACGGGGUGUGACAGUGGCAGCCUGCGGUGGGGAGUUCGUCGGCGAACCUUCGACGCGGGCUUGCUCGUGAGGAGGGCCUCUCCACGUUCCCUCAGCUGCAAGGUGCCGCCGCUGUUCCGGUCAGGCUGCCACCUUGGAUUGAGUUCGGUAGAAAUCGUGCAAUGGUUUUGGUCCUGAUUGAGGUGGCAUGAAAUUCGGUUGAAAACAUGGUCUGCGUCCAGGUAUUCGUGUAACAGAAUUUGACAAAACUUGAUACUAUGAUUUUAACAAAUACGACAUUAUGCAUGACUGCUUUUCUAUGGCAGCUUAAAUAAUCACAGCCCAACAUCCGUAAACUGACCAUUACUACAUACUCUGCAAUCUUAAUUUCAAGUGUUGCGUGCAUGAAUUGGUACUGCACAGUACACACAAAGUUUCCACAGGGCAUUUAAGAUUUAAGGAAAGUGACAAAAAAGAAAAAUGCUAAAGAAGAUGAUGAAUUAUGGAUUUGAUUAUAGGUUUGUUCACAAUCACAACUUACAAGUUCAUUUGUUUCGGGUAACUCACAAGUUCAUUGUGCCUUGUGUUCAAGUCCAACACAAAAUCCGGUCUUUUCGUGUCAGUUUUAUCACUUAGACGUGUACCCUUGUUACAGUGCCAACACAAACGCUUUACCACUAGAGUUCUUCCUCAAAAUUCAGAUUUUUUUUGCACUGAAACAUGUGAACUCUAUGUGUUAUUAGAAACUCAGUUGCUUGGGACCUCCACAAUGCUGGACAGAAGGCUCCUUAGCUCCACCAUGACAACAUCCUGCUCACCCUUCACCUACACAUAGAAACAAGAACAAAUUUAACCACUGGAAUACUCGCAAUGACAGAUUCAACAGAUAGGUAAAAGCCGCAAUGUUCUGCAGCAGUCAAGUUUCUUGAGAAUCAGUUUACCUCAAUGGAGAAGACGCUCUCUGCAUAACCGUAGAAUGUAAUCGUGCUCAGGCUGGUGACUUGCGCAUUGUAGCUGCAGAGUGCUUCCAGUACCUUGGUGAAGACGCCGGCCUUCUUGCAGAAGAUCUUGAGGUGGUACUUGUAUGGCCCCAGAGGAACCAACUCCACCUGACCCUGUAGACAUAUAUAAUAUAGUGAGUCUGUGAGGAGUCAGCACUCAGUAGUAUACUACAGCUGAACUUUCUGGUGAAAAUGGCGAUGAACAGUGGGGGCGAAGGAUUCGGAACACGACGCGCUGCCCUGCUUCUCCCAGGCCUCGCCGGGCGAGUCGGCGAGCUGGCGCUGCAGCUCAAGGACCUGGUUCUGGAGCUUCUUGAUGUGGUCGAUCGCGUCCGACAGGGU